AAGUCGAACGAAGCAUUUAGUGCAGAUUACUUCGGUUUGAAGUUCUUUAUGACUGAGUGGCGGACGGGUGAGUAACGCGUGGGUAACCUGCCUUGUACUGGGGGAUAGCAGCUGGAAACGGCUGGUAAUACCGCAUAAGCGCACAAUGUUGCAUGACAUGGUGUGAAAAACUCCGGUGGUAUAAGAUGGACCCGCGUCUGAUUAGCUAGUUGGUGAGAUAACAGCCCACCAAGGCGACGAUCAGUAGCCGACCUGAGAGGGUGACCGGCCACAUUGGGACUGAGACACGGCCCAGACUCCUACGGGAGGCAGCAGUGGGGAAUAUUGCACAAUGGAGGAAACUCUGAUGCAGCGACGCCGCGUGAGUGAAGAAGUAAUUCGUUAUGUAAAGCUCUAUCAGCAGGGAAGAUAGUGACGGUACCUGACUAAGAAGCUCCGGCUAAAUACGUGCCAGCAGCCGCGGUAAUACGUAUGGAGCAAGCGUUAUCCGGAUUUACUGGGUGUAAAGGGAGUGUAGGUGGCCAUGCAAGUCAGAAGUGAAAAUCCGGGGCUCAACCCCGGAACUGCUUUUGAAACUGUAAGGCUAGAGUGCAGGAGGGGUGAGUGGAAUUCCUAGUGUAGCGGUGAAAUGCGUAGAUAUUAGGAGGAACACCAGUGGCGAAGGCGGCUCACUGGACUG
rnacentral:rRNA from 1 species